rnacentral:rRNA from 1 species
UACAGAGGGUGCAAGCGUUAAUCGGAAUUACUGGGCGUAAAGCGCGCGUAGGUGGUUCGUUAAGUUGGAUGUGAAAUCCCCCGGGCUCAACCUGGGAACUGCAUUCAAAAACUGUCGAGCUAGAGUAUGGUAGAGGGUGGUGGAAUUUCCUGUGUAGCGGUGAAAUGCGUAGAUAUAGGAAGGAACACCAGUGGCGAAGGCGACCACCUGGACUGAUACUGACACUGAGGUGCGAAAAGCGUGGGGGAGAAACAG